rnacentral:lncRNA from 1 species
AGAAAAGUGAAAUAGAGAAAGGUAGUUAGAGCAGUGAGAGGGAGUGGGAGGAAGAAAGAGCGAGGAUAGGAGGCAGCGCAGUGCAGUGCAUAGGGAGGGAGAGACAGGAAGGGAGAGAGAGAGGGAGAGAGGGAGAGAUGUAGAGACAGGAAGCCUCCACUGCCACUGAGCCAGUGAUACGCAGGCAGGCAGAGAGCGAAGACGGAGAGAGAAAGGCCCUCGGCAUCUCCAAGGCCGGCCCUACGAGGGGGUGAGGGGAUCCGGAGCACAACGCAGAGGAUAGUGGGAGGAGAAGCAGAAAGAAAGAGGGAGAAGAAGAGGAAAAAAGGGCUGGGUGAUAAAAUCGGAAACAGAAUUCAGCAGGAAAAGGGGAGUGGGUGGGUGGGAUCUGAGCUGAGGAGGGAAAAAGAAGAUAAAAGUUUUGGAGACAGGCUAGUAGAAGGAGGGAGGGGGAAAAGAGACUAAAGACAGAGCAGAUAGAGUCGAAGUUAAUGGCAAAGAUAGGAGGAGAUUCAUGGAAAAAGAGGAGGAAGCUCUCUGUGUUUCAGGAGUCCUCCUGUUCUUCUUCUGCUUCUUCUUCCUUCUGUGAGGUGGCAGGACAUCAUCCAUCACCAUGUUCUCUGACAGCAGGGCUCCAGCACCUGGGGAGCAAAAGGGCUUCAAGCCUCACACCCCUCACUUCAUCCCAUGGCUGCGCAAUACUCUGAAGCCACACCACAGCAGUGACUUGGGGCUGAAUGGAUCGUACAAAUCUAAAACCGAGGCCCGCAACAACCUGACCUCACUGGAGAGAGCCAAGGGGAAUGGAUUCUUCUCCAUCCAGGGAAAAGACCGGACAAAGAAGGGUGAACUUCGGUGUAAUGGCGUGGGGGUGGCGAGGAUGCUGCCAGUGGUGCUGAGGGGGCACCACAUUCUGCCAGGGAGUCUGGGGAAGCAGAGUGAGGACAGUACUGCCAGCUGGAACCAGCCUGCAGAGCUGGACCCAGACCCCAACGUGCAGAUUAGACCGGAGGACGGACAACAGAGUCUGAUCAACAGCUCCACCUGUGUUCAAGACAAUCACAGCUUUGUUAGGAGCAGCCACCAAGGUCUCCUUCACCCUAAAAGUGAUGGGACUAGCACCACAGUGAGGAAAUAUGGGCCGCUGGUGGGACCCCCUCCUGUUCCUGUUCCUGUUCCUGCACCGUUCACCGAGGAGCCAAACUGUAAGGUGCCUGUUGUGGUGUGCUUGGAGGACGGGAGGAGGAGGAUGUGGGACUACACCAGCCACACCACCAACUGUCAGAGAGACCUCCAUUCAUCCAGCUGGCUCGGCUCCGACACUCAGGGACUUACAGAGAGGCAGCACGGGUUUAGCUCCAGCUUCAGCUGCAUCGAACAACAGAGCAGAAACUCCCAGAGCCAGAGAGACCUGACGGUGCUGAGGGAACCACCUGUGGAGGGUGUAAACGGAUACCCAAAUGGAGUCCUCUUCUCCGCAGAGAAUCCCCAGAGAGGCCUUCGCUGUUCCACAACUCUGCAAGGACCAAGAAAACCCCGACCUAGUUCGGAGCGCAUUGCAGUCCUGGGCCAGAACCAGACUUGGGUCCAGCACAGACUAAAGAGUAAAGUGGAGCCACGGAGGAAGGAAGCUGGCUGCAACAUGAAGGUGGUUCGAAACCAGAUCAAAUGUGUGGUGGACAACCUGGAGCAGGUUCUUACAGCACUCAGGGAUGUUCACCAGGAAAUGAAAGAGGUGGUGCAACAUAUUGACUAUCUAACUUCAGUAGUUGAUCUGAAUGACGAGGAGCAGCACGGCACCACAAGAGACGACAGCACCAAGCCUGCCAGUAACACUAGCUCCAGUUCGGGGUCCAGCUCUAGCAAAGUCGAGAGGCCCUCAGAUCUUCAAGGGCAGCCAGGGACCACAGACUCAACCGGUACCAUCAGGAGAGAUUAUCACAGUGUGCAGCUGUACCCAGUGAGCUCUGGGUUUACAUCAGAGAGGAGCCAAACUCGGUUCACCUGUAGGUUUGGGUCUUCUUCCAGGAAAGGUGGACCGUCCACUCCGCCUCAACUUCAGAACCUCACCCCCCAUAACUGUACUUUGUCUCCCCAAAGAAACCUCCCUGUUCGACCUCCCACUCCAGGUCUCUCCCCUCUAACAGUAAACCUCAAUACACCCAGCAGCGCUGGUUCUCAGCCUCACUCCCCUAUGUCUUCCUCCUCCAUGAGGGUCAGCCCUGUUUCCUCUCCCUCCCCACUGUCUACAAAGCCUCACCCGCCCCCCGUCCUCAGCCCUUCUGUCAUCAUAGAGACCAAAGUUGGGUAUUAUCAGACCCCACAAAGCGACCACCCAUCUGUUGGCCUACUCUCUCCAUCAUCAACUCCGUCUGUUGGCGGCCCACCCACCGACUCAGAAACUCAAACUGUGUCCGACGCUGACAGAGAGAGGCGAGCAUCCUCAGCAGGCUCUGUUCAUGGAGCGCCACAGGUGUGCACCACUGCAGCCACAGCUAAACCACUCACCACACAAGUCCGCAAAAGUCACAAACCCCCACCUUACCCCCACCAUAGACUGUCUGAGCAUACAAAGAAAGUGAAGGAGCCCCGCAAAGCUCCUCCAUACCCAGAGAAAAGAAAGCUGCUCUCGACCACAGUGUGA